rfam:TPA: Bos taurus chromosome 6, whole genome shotgun sequence.
UCCCUGGUGGUUCAGACAGUAAAGAAGCUGCCUGCAAUGCAGAAGACUCAGGUUUGAUCCCUGGCUUGGGAA